CAAUAGAACCUUCUGUAAGUUUUGUUAUUAAGAAGCUUCUCAAGAAGCUCAGCUUGAAGCCACUGCCUAUGUAAACACCCACUCUGAUUAAAGAUGACACUGUCAGCUGUCCUUGCCCUAAAUGCCAAAGGUCCAGCUCUUCCUGAGAACCCUCUGGCCCCCUGGCCCCAGCCACAGAGGAGAGGUAUGGAGCAGGUGCAGUCAUGAGCUCGGGUCUUAGGACACGGCCAGGCCCUGCCCUUAGCCUCUCUGGCUACAGACACGGCCCAGCUCUGCCCUUGAGCAGUGCCCUGCUGGGAAGAGGCAGCCACAGCAAAUCUUCCGAAUGUUCACACACACACACACACACACACACACAUAUCCUGUGCGGAAUCCCAUCGGCAAGUCUCCUCCAAAGACUCCUUGGUCAGAGAAACCCACAGGGUGUGUGGGGCCUUGCACGGCCUGGCCCCCGGCCUGGCAUGCUUGGGCAGCAACUCCAGCAGGUCCUCACCAGCUUGUGCAGAAGCCAGCUAGAAGCACUCCUGAAGGAGAGAGUCUGAGACAAAAACAACUCCAAGCAAGAGGGUUGAGCAUUUAAAAUGGAUGAAAUCGUGCAAAGAGGCUGCGAGCUGUGCAUGCUCCACUGCGGGACAGGCGGUGGUGACUCGCCUGGCAGCAGCGAGUCCUGCCACAGGUCAAACAUGCCACAGACUGAGAAGUUCACACACACGGGGGUGGGGGGAGUGGGGGCAGGGGGAGGGAGUGAGGGCUUUGAUAUGCGCAUAUCUAUCCAGUUUCUCAAUUGCAUGUUUGCAAUUAACUCCUUAUACAUAACAUGGAAUUUAUUAAAUAUUAACAGUUGUCUUUGAGGGUUAAUAUUUCAUUGCAUAGAACGUUAGAGAUGAGACUUGUGGCUGUGCCCAAGAUGAAGGGAGACCCCCAAGGGAAAGGCCCGGGGGAAGAACACUGCCCAGUCCACCAGGUGGAUGGACAGCACCAUACUCCCCUAUGCAGGGCUCUGGGCCCUUCCCUCGGCUGGCAGAAGCCCUGGUCCCUCUGCUCUGAGCACGUCCACUGGUGAUGGCUUAAGAAGGACUGGAGUUGCACGGUAAACAGAGGCGGGCUGAGGGGCCUCCCUAGACCCUGCCCUGGGGUUGUGCUCUUGGUGGCCUGCUGCCCACUAUUGCUUCUAAGUCAACAUUCUCCCUGUGCUGAGCAGGGGCAGAGCAGAGAGGAAACCAAACCAUCAGUCACAAGGUGAUGGGGGAAGGGAGAGGCGAGGAGGUGAGCUGAGAGAGAAAAGAGCGGAAAGGAUGGGGAGAAACAAAAGAAAAAUGUUUAUGAGGUAUACACUUAAAUCAAACUGAAAUGAUUAAGGCUGUUCUUGAAAUCAAAAGAAAUUCCCAGGUGUACAAAUGAGGAGUCGGCUGGUCAAGACAAUGGCGGUGCCGCUGGGAUGCUCACGAUGACUGAGGAGGAUGGCUUUGAAGAUGGUGGUGGGCGUGCUAGCACGCGGCCACCCAUGGGCUGGGAGAAGCCUCAGCUGGUGCCCACGCUGCUUUUCGGUGCUAUGGCCUCUUGUUUCAGUGAUGAAGACAGUGUUAGGUCCUAAUGUUUGUAAAGUUCUCCCAAUCCCACACUAGCCACAUGGACAUCUGCUCCAGUGUCACCCAGAAGGCAGGGUGAUGGGGGCAGGACCCUGUGGCCACAGAGGGAUCCGGACCAGCUGGAAUGUGAAGGAAACGGAGCCCAGGGCCCGAGCCCUCUGUCAAAGCCCCUCUCCAAGGCUGUGGAAAAACUUCUGGCAUUGUGGAGGAAGGGCAGCAUCCGUCAAAAACAGGCAGCGUGCACCCAAACUCUGUGUAUAACGCAUUGGAAGCCCGGCCAGGCCGCAGAAGGCGGCUGUGGGAAGAGCAGCAAGUCUGUCAUGUGGCAGGGUCUCCAGAGAGGGUUCCUCCCACCCAGCGACGGCUAUGCCUUGAAGAUGGCGCCCUGAGGAGAGCAAGGUCUCUGGAAAGACAAUCACAGGUUCCCCCCAGGGCCAGUGGUCCCACUUGUCAGCAGCUGCUUCACACUGGCAACUGCUGUUAGAAAACAUCCUGCCCUCAAGUGAGGCCCACCUGCCACGUCCUACCGGGUGUGAGUCUUUCGGCCAAGGGUUCACCAGAUUGUAGAUGCUUGGAAGAGAAAAGAAGGGAGGGAGGGAAGGAAACAGGGAAAGACAGAAGGAUUUUGUCAAGAACCGUGGAUAGUUGCUUCCCACCCAUACUCCUCCCAACUGUCUGCCAUCUGCCACAUGCUGACAGCCUGGCCCCUCCUCACCCAUGGGAGAACCCCCCCACCCCCCGCUGCCUGCACUGAGGCUGGGGGAGAUGGGUGCUUGGGUAGGUCUGAGGUCACAAAGAGAAGGUCAGGAAGAGAAAAAUCAAGUUGGCCAGGAAGGGACAAUUCUUUACCAUAAGUUGCUGUUUGUCUCUUAAGAGUGAGGGAGGUGAGAUUUUGUUUAAAAUGACAAGCCUCUCCCAUUGCACUUCUGAAAUUGCCACAAGUAACACCAGGAGAUGGACAUUCACAGAAGCUCUGACCACUUGGCCCAAUCAUUACCCAAAUGUCAGAACUUGAUGGAGACUCUUUUAACUACAAAGUUAAUGUCUCUGUGGCCCAUGCACAUCAUAUGGCAGGACACAGAAUAAAGCUGUGCCAGUGGUUCCUUUCGCUCCCUGAUGACAGGGCCCUGGCCCUACACCCAAGGUGGGUCCUGCCAUGGACAUGGUCCAUGGGCUGCCUCGCCUUCCCUACCCUUUAGCACAGCUUCUGAUAUCACAUCUGUUCCCAGCAACUUGGGAGAAAACAUCCGGCUGAGCGGGAAAGCGGCAGGGAGCCGCCGUCAUGGGGUGAAGACAGGAAGAACACUGGGGUGCUGCACUGUGGCUACCGUAAUUAGAAAAAAUUCCAGACUCAGAGUUCCCAUUGUGGCACAGUGGAAAUGAAUCCAACUAGUAACCACGAGGUGGCGUGAUCGAUCCCUGGCCUCACUCAGUUGGUUAAGGAUCUGGUGUUGCUGUGAGCUUUGGUGUAGGUUGCAGAAGCGGCUCAGAUCCUGCAUUGCUCUGGCUGUAGGGUGGGCCAGCAACUGUAGCUCCAAUUCAACCCCUAGCCUGGGAACUUCCAUAUGCUGCAGGUGCGGCCCUAAAAAGCAAAAAAGAAAGAAAGAAA
rnacentral:lncRNA from 1 species